rnacentral:rRNA from 1 species
CGGAGGAUGCAAGCGUUAUCCGGAUUUAUUGGGUUUAAGGGUGCGUAGGCGGAUGAAUAAGUCAGUGGUGAAAGCCUGCAGCUUAACUGUAGAAUUGCCAUUGAUACUGUUUAUCUUGAGUACAGCUGAGGUGGGCGGAAUAUGACAUGUAGCGGUGAAAUGCUUAGAUAUGUCAUAGAACACCGAUUGCGAAGGCAGCUCACUAAACUGUCACUGACGCUGAGGCACGAAAGCGUGGGGAGCAAACAGGAUUAGAUACCCUGGUAGUCCACGCCCUAAACUAUGAUCACUCGAUGUUGGCGAUACACUGUCAGCGUCUAAGGGAAACCAUUAAGUGAUCCACCUGGGGAGUACGGUCGCAAGACUG